GACGAACGCUGGCGGCGUGCUUAACACAUGCAAGUCGAGCGGUAAGGCCCUUUCGGGGGUACGACGAGCGGCGAACGGGUGAGUAACACGUGGGUGACCUGCCCUCAGCUCUGGGAUAAGCCUGGGAAACCGGGUCUAAUACUGGAUAUGACUCCAUGACGCAUGUUGUGGGGUGGAAAGCCUUGUGCGGCUGAGGAUGGGCCCGCGGCCUAUCAGCUUGUUGGUGGGGUGAUGGCCUACCAAGGCGACGACGGGUAGCCGGCCUGAGAGGGCGACCGGCCACACUGGAACUGAGACACGGUCCAGACUCCUACGGGAGGCAGCAGUGGGGAAUUUUUGUCAAUGGGCGAAAGCCUGACCAAGCAACGCCGCGUGGGUGA
rnacentral:rRNA from 1 species